AUUGAACGCUGGCGGCAGGCCUAACACAUGCAAGUCGAACGAGUGGCGGACGGGUGAGUAAUGUCUGGGAAACUGCCCGAUGGAGGGGGAUAACUACUGGAAACGGUAUCUAAUACCGCAUACCAUCGGAUGUGCCCAGAUGGGAUUAGCUAGUAGGUGGGGUAACGGAUCACCUAGGCGACGAUCCCUAGCUGGUCUGAGAGGAUGACCAGCCGCACUGGAACUGAGACACGGUCCAGACUCCAACGGGGGGCAGCAGUGGGGAAUAUUGCACAAUGGGCGCAAGCCUGAUGCAGCAGUGCCGCAUGUAUGAAGAAGGCCUUCGGGUUGUAAAGUACUUUCAGCCAUGACGCGGUAGUGGCAGAAGAAGCACCGGCUAACUACGUGCCAGCAGCCGCGGUAAUAC
rnacentral:rRNA from 1 species